CUGCCCCACAAUGCAGUGCCC
rnacentral:misc_RNA from 1 species